UUGCAAUUAAAAAGCUCGUAGUUGAAUGUCUGGGUGGGUGGCGCCGGUGUGGUGCGCAAACGCCGCAGCUGUGUGCCAUUUCUGCCCUGUUAACUUUUGUGGGGUGCGGUGUGGCGGUCUUAGUUGGUCGUUGUGUCGUGAUUUACUCCCUGCAUCGAUUACUGUGAACAAAUUAGAGUGUUCAAAGCAAGCUGCAAAUGCUUGAAUACAUUAGCAUGGAAUAAUGAUAUAGGACUUUGGUGCUAUUUCGUUGGUUGUGUACCAAGGUAAUGAUUAAUAGGGAUAGUUGGGGGUAUUCAUAUUUGAUUGUCAGAGGUGAAAUUCUUGGAUUUAUUAAAGAUGAACAAGUGCGAAAGCAUUUACCAAGGAUGUUUUCAUUAAUCAAGAACGAAAGUCAGGGGAUCGAAGAGGAUUAGAUACCCUCGUAGUCUUGACCAUAAACUAUGCCGACUCAGGAUUGGCGGGGCAAAACUAGCGAUAGUAUGACUCCGUCAGCACUGUGUGAGAAAUCAAAGUCUUUGGGUUUU
rnacentral:rRNA from 1 species